CCCUACGGGGCGCAGCAGGCGCGAAAACCUCACACUGUGCGAAAGCACGAUGAGGGAAUCCCAAGUGCUGGCUCGUAAGAGUCAGCUGUUUUUCUGUCUAGAAAACAGAGAGAGUAAGAGCUGGGUAAGACGGGUGCCAGCCGCCGCGGUAAUACCUGCAGCUCAAGUGGUGGCCGCUAUUAUUGGGCCUAAAACGUUCGUAGCCGGUCUAGUAAAUGCCUGGGUAAAUCAUACGGCUUAACCGUACGAAUUCCGGGUAGACUGCUGGACUUGGGGCUGGGAGAGGCUAGAGGUACUCCUGGGGUAGAGGUGAAAUCCUGUAAUCC
rnacentral:rRNA from 1 species